rnacentral:tRNA from 2 species
GCUCCAGUAGCUCAGGGGAUAGAGCAAUCGCCUUCUAAGCGAUCGGUCGUUGGUUCAAAUCCAACCUGGGGCG